GCCAUAUUCUCCCAUAGUUUUCGUGUCUUAAAACUAGUCUUUACAGGAUCCCAUACAUCUUUCCAGAAGAGUAUUAUUAGACAUACAUGUCUGUGUCGACGAAAGCCAUGUACCAGUAAACGCCGCAUAAGACGAGCUAAGCGAGUGUACUUCUUAAUUGGCUCCUGUGUAAAGUGAGAAGGGGUGCGCGGCUCAAGCUACUCAAAAUGUUCAUCAAAAAUUAAAAAAGCCACUCAACUGUAGAAUGCUUUAAAAGUAGCUAGGAAACAUAAAAGGAGAACAAAAAAAAGAGAGGACUGUUUAUGAAGGAAAAAAGAAUAAGAAACAUGAGGAGAUAACUUAUUAAAAUCUAGCUUUUCAAUGGGAAUCGAAUGAAAGAACUGUAAAAAAUAAAUUAUCCUGGAAAUGCCCGAGAUCUCAUAAAAAAAUGAUGAGUAAUUUGUACUAAUUAAUGCCCCAGACAACAGGAGAGAGUCCCAUAAUAGAACCUAAUAACGAUUUUGCAAGAUAGCGGAAGCACAUGAGACCGCAUGUUAUGAUCAGACUUUUUUUUCUAUCACUCCUUUAACACCUGAUUUACUUGACCAAGUAUUGUUUAACCCUUUAUUUCUCUCAGCCAUACAUAAUAAGUAGUGAACUAGUGAUGAAUAAAAAAGAGACUGUAAAUUAAAAAGCUGGUUAACAUGCCCUUAUUCUUGCAUACAAGGAUAAGUGUAAUGAUCAGCUCUUUAAUUUGUGAUCCCUUUCGUAUUCACCAGCACCAUUCUUCAUGCAUGGUUGAGAGAGAUCAAGAGUUAAAAACCUUCUGAUGAAAUGGACAGAAUGAUCAAGAAGAACUUAUUCUUAGAGUCCGAUAAUAUUCUACCAGGGAACCUGUCAACAAGUUCUAUGUAAUACACGUCACUUCUUGUAGCCUGCAUGCCUUUCUACUACCAUCCCCUUACUUGCUAACAUAGACACAGUACCCUCUCCAUGAGCAACUCAUGGGCUCGUUCAAGCUCGUUUGAUCGAUCAAAAGAUGAGUUCAACCGGCAAUAUAUAUACUAAAAUUCCUACGUCUCGAGCCUUUUCAGAGUUGUUUCGUGAGUGGCCCACGAGACAAGAUUGAACAUGUCUGGACGAGCCGAGCAUGCAUGGACACAGUCGUGGAACGACCAUGCCGAGCCAAAGAAUCCUAAACUCGCAUCAGCAUGGCUCGUCAGGAAGCCUAGCUUUAUAGCUUGGUCUCUUUAGCUCAGCUCAAUCCUAGCUAUCGCAACGCUGAACAACUUCUUUUCGUUAAUAAAUAUUCAUACUACCGUUAAGAUUGCCAUAUUGGGAGUACAAAUCAAAUAUCGUGCGCCUUCCAAUGUGUUCUGAUAGAUCUCUCUAAAUAACAAAAGCUACUUGCUAACUCUACCAAUACGAAUGUCUUUGAAAAGAACCAGAAAGGUCAUACCAUGCACGAAGAACGAUCAAGUAAACAUAAAAACCACUAGUUAUACUUAGAACACUUACCCUUAACUUGUAAGAACAGCCACAGAGAGAGAGAGAGAGAGAGAGAGAGAGAGAGAGAG
rnacentral:lncRNA from 1 species